UACGGAGGGAGCUAGCGUUGUUCGGAUAUACUGGGCGUAAAGCGCACGUUAGGCGGAUCCUUAAGUCGGGGGGUGAAAUCCCGAGGCUCAACCUCGGAACUGCCUUCGAUACUGGAAGUCUUGAGUCCGGGAGAGGUGGAGUGGAACUCCGAGUGUAGAGGUGAAAUUCGUAGAUAUUCGGAAGAACGACCAGUGGCGAAGGGCGCUCACUGGCCCGGUACGUGACGCUGAGAUACGAAAGCGGUGGGGAGCAAACAGGG
rnacentral:rRNA from 1 species